rnacentral:rRNA from 1 species
GAUUAACGCGAAGAACCUUACCUGGGCUUGACAUGCUGGUGAAAGCCGGUGGAAACAUCGGCCCCUCUUCGGAGCGCCAGCACAGGUGCUGCAUGGCUGUCGUCAGCUCGUGUCGUGAGAUGUUGGGUUAAGUCCCGCAACGAGCGCAACUCUCGCUCCCAGUUGCCAGCGGUUCGGCCGGGGACUCUGGGGGGACUGCCGGCGUUAAGCCGGAGGAAGGUGGGGACGACGUCAAGUCAUCAUGGCCCUUACGUCCAGGGCGACACACGUGCUACAAUGCCCGGUACAGCGCGUCGCGAACCCGCAAGGGGGAGCCAAUCGCCAAAAGCCGGGCUAAGUUCGGAUUGUCGUCUGCAACUCGACGGCAUGAAGCCGGAAUCGCUAGUAAUCGCGGAUCAGCCACGCCGCGGUGAAUACGUUCCCGGGCCUUGUACACACCGAAUC